CCCUUAGAUGUCCUGGGCCGCACGCGCGCUACACUGACGUGUUCAACAAGUUUCUCCUAGUUCGACAGGACUGGGAAAUCUUUGAACACAUGUCGUGAUAGGGAUAGAUCAUUGCAAUUAUUGAUCUUGAACGAGGAAUUCCUAGUAAACGCGAGUCAUCAGCUCGCAUUGAUUACGUCCCUGCCCUUUGUACACACCGCCCGUCGCACCUACCGAUUGAAUGUUUCGGUGAAGAUUCCGGAUAGGACUGAUUUGAUUUAUUUCAUUUCUGACCUAAAAGCUAUCUAAACCUCAACAUUUAGAGGAAGGUGAAGUCGUAACA
rnacentral:rRNA from 1 species